GAUAACAAAAUUAAAAAUCGACAGUAAUCCGUUUGCUAAAGGAUUUCGAGAUUCGAGCCGUUUAUCAGAAUUUGAAAGAGAAACUAUGGAAUCAAUGUUGGCCGAGCAACAUUAUUUGCGACAUCCAGCUCUGAGGUCUUUUCCAGAUUUCGAUCUGACCAAUCAGAACUUGACCCUGG